rnacentral:tRNA from 2 species
CCGGGCGUAUUUCAAUUGGUAGAUUGCGUGAUUUGGGAUCAUGUGGUUGUGGGUUCGAGUCCCAUCGCUCGGU